UUAAGCUUUAAACCCUAAACUCUUUUUUGAAGAGGAGCGGCCAGGCCCAAACCCUUUGUAUUAUCCCUACGUACAAAUAAACCUGGCUGCUCCUCCUUCACCCACUUCAUCUUUUAUAUCUCACCUAAUGCUAUACAUCACUGAAAGGUAGUUCUUGACGGCAACAUUAGCUUCUUGUCCUUGAUCUAUUGGAUCAAAGUUCAGUGUCCUCAAGAUUUUCAGACACAAGCUUAAGCUACCACAGACAGAGAACCAAGUAGCAGUUGCUUUCAGGAAAUACAAAAACGGGUUUAUUUAAGAUGAAGAUGUAAAUAUAUUUAGAAGCCAUGAGUUAGAUCAAUGGUGGCCUCAUGAAAAGCAACAAAGUUGAAUGCGAGAAAAGGCAGAACUACUGGCAGUGGUGCUUCCUGCAACAAUUGAUUGAGGCCUUCUCCAAUUUUCUGACUCAUAAAUAUGUUCCGAUUGCAUGGUGCUAUCCAUGCAGUAGACAGAUCCUUCCACUUGAAGAACUACUAAGCAACAACGUGGCACCGUAGAGGGUAUACAGUCUAUUUGAAUACAAAUUUAAAAGUCUUGUUUUGAAUUUUUCUAAUGAAAAAAACUCUCAAUUUUCAAUAGAAAAAUUCUCAAAAAUUCUUCUAAAGUUGUAUUCAAUCUGACUCAUCAUAUUAUAAUUAUGCAUCAAUGUACCCUCUUGCAUGAUCUCAGGCCCUCGAUGUAAUAUUUUUACUCCAUGGCAGUUUUCUACAUGUGUGCUUCAUUUAGAUCCUGUGUUCUUGUACCUGCCGAAGAGAGUUCCCCUUGGAUACUUCAAAACCUGUCACUGUUUUAAUCGUUUACUAAAUAUAUAGCUUUGUUUGUAGCAGUAAUUAAGUCUAAGCUUUUGCACUCUAUGGAUGUAAUGUAAUAGUACUCCUGAGUUUUUAUUCCCCGUUGCUGUUUGCAGCAUAUAUUGUAUUAACUUAGUGUGUUCACCUAACUUAUAUAAAGAAAUAGUGAGAGUUUGGUGAGGUGAACUUCAAA